AGCAAUUGGCAUUUUAGGAUAGAAAUUUGUGUACUUUGCAAAUCCUUAGAGCCUAGUGUCAAGAGAAAAUUGAGAAACUAAUUGGCAUGAGUAGUAUUUUAUUUUUGAGUUACUGCUUAUGUCUACAAAUUGGCUUUCAUACUUAACCAAAAAAAGAAAAGAAAAAGAAAAGAAAAAACAAGAAUAGGGUUAAGUUAGUAGUUUAUUGGUGGUAGUUGCUACAUAAUUGAUGUCUGUUGGGCUAUAUAUAAUAAAUCCACGUGUUUUUUGCGAGAUAAAUAUGGACCUUUUUUUAUUCACUGGCAACUGAGCAGCGAGUAGUAACACAAGUGAUGAAGACUAAAGAAUUCCUCAACUGAACAGUGUGUCAGCAACCAGGUUUGUUUUGGUUUUUAUUUUUUUCAUUUAUCCUUUUCGAUGUUGUGAUGCAAAGCGUCAUUCUUUGGAAGCUGACAUGGGCAUGGAGAUGGAAGGUGAUGGGCGUGCCCGCAUAUCUUCAACUCGAUCUGGAAGCAGAUCUCGUCUUGCCUCCUGCACCAGCUGGCAGAGUCGACAACCAGGUAAUUUCUAAUCUCAGUUGUCACUCAAGAAUAAAUUCACUUACAUUGCUACAAUUUCUUGGAAAUGGAUAUCGUAUUUCAUGAGUAAAAGAUCGAAAUUAUUCUGUUGACACGGCUUCUACAUGUUCCAAUUAGUAUGGUGUUAGAAUUGUAUGAUGCACGAUUCAAUUCAUACAAUUUAAUAAGAGUUUCAACCAAAAUUAUUUGAAUUGUGUUGUUUGAAAAUUGGGUGUCCUGUUGAAUUGAGAAUUGAGUAGUUCGUCUAUGUUUUUGUUUACAUAAUGUAUUGAAAUGAUGCCUUUUUCUGUUACUCUACGAUGAAACAAAAAUAGGACAAUUGCUUAUAUUCAUAUACGUGGUUAUAUAUAAUUUAUUUAUAUUGAUACUAUGUAGUAUUUGACUUUGAUUGCUACAGUGUUCCCACAUAUGUGUGAGGUUUGGAAAUUCCUUUCCAAUAAUUCGGGCUAUAUUUGAUAAGCAUCCCGCGGAUCUUGUAUGAGAAGGAAAUAAGAAAUGGAAAAAAAAAAAAAAACUUUGUUUAUAGUUUCAUGUGGAAAAAACAUGCAAAGAGCGAACUGCUAAUACAUGUAUUAUCUUAUGCAAUUUUAUCUUUUCUUUUGUGGAAAUUUUGUAUUUCAUUUGUUGUGACGGGUUAUAGAAACCAAAAACUCACUUUCGUAGUUUUUAGAUAAUUAGAGAUUGACAAUUCCAACUUCCUUUACUUCAUUCAAAAAGUUGUUCAGAAUAAUUGAUCAGAAUUAUUUUGAGGAACCGGUUUGUGCAUAUUAUUCAAGAUAAUUUUACUUUUAGGAGCAGUUAGUUUUUCGUUUGUAUUUUUUUUUUCCUUUGUGUUUUUGGCUCUAACCCCUUGCAGCCAAUGACACAUAGAGACAUGGUUAAUCAUUUAAGGUAAUCUCCUAUACUUUUUAAUUUUAUUUUUUACAUUCAAGACAAUGCAUCGUUUAGGUUGGGGGCAGAAAAUACUUAUUUUGAGAAGAAUUUAUAUAUUUGCUUACUGCUAUGAGUUAGUUGUUUUGUUUUUUUUUAAAAAAAAAGUUAGUGCUCAUGGUAAUCUUUUGUUCUAUACAUUGGGUGAUUGGGCAUACUUGUGGUAUUUUAUUGCUUUCACUCGAGAAUUGUGUUGAAGUUUGAUAUGCUAGCUACUUUGUUACAGCAUUCCAUGUGUUCAAAUUUGGAAAUCAUUGCACUACACUUCUGCCACAUGUAUAUGAUUUUUAGUUGAUAAGUGGAUAUGACUUGAACAUCUUGAAGAAUGAUAGUGGAGACUUUUAACCCUGUGAGUUUUGUGCCAAUCAUUUAUUAGAGAGUUAUUAUACAUCUAGUCUUAAUUUUUCUUUGGAAACGCAUUAAUUUAUUGUUUAGUCUCAUUAUUUUUUCAUUUUUGGUUGAAUGCUUAGAAUAAAUCAAUUUGUUAUCAUACUUUUACUCCCUCGAGGACAAUGCAUCGUUCAGGUUGGGGGGAGAAAAUACUUAUCUUGAGAAGAAUUUAUAUGUUGCUUGCUACAAUGAGUUAGUUGUUUUGUUUAAAAAA